UACAGAGGUCUCAAGCGUUGUUCGGAUUCAUUGGGCGUAAAGGGCGCGUAGGCGGCUUCUCAAGCGUGUGGUGAAAGUCCGGGGCUCAACCCCGGAUCGGCCGUGCGGACUGGGGAGCUCGAGUUCUGUAGAGGCGGGUGGAAUUCCGGGUGUAGCGGUGGAAUGCGUAGAGAUCCGGAAGAACACCGGUGGCGAAGGCGGCCCGCUGGGCAGAGACUGACGCUGAGGCGCGACAGCGUGGGGAGCAAACAGG
rnacentral:rRNA from 1 species